CAGCAAACUCAGCGACAGUGUGUUGGUGUCUGAAGGGAAAAGCCUCAUUUGCAGCAAGCCAGAAUCAUCAGAUGCUUUCUCUGUUCAGCAACACUGGACAUGGAGGCAGAUUUACACAGCUCUACACGCCUCCCCUUGCUACUGCUCCA